AGGACGAACGCUGGCGGCGUGCCUAACACAUGCAAGUCGAGCGAGGAGAUCCUCGGGAUGACCCUAGCGGCGGACGGGUGAGUAACACGUGGGCAACCUGCCUCAUAGAGAGGAAUAGCCUUCCGAAAGGGAGAUUAGUACCUCAUAACAUUGCAGUUUCGCAUGGAACAGCAAUUAAAGGAGCAAUCCGCUAUGAGAUGGGCCCGCGGCGCAUUAGCUAGUUGGUGAGGUAACGGCUCACCAAGGCGACGAUGCGUAGCCGACCUGAGAGGGUGAUCGGCCACAUUGGGACUGAGACACGGCCCAGACUCCUACGGGAGGCAGCAGUGGGGAAUAUUGCACAAUGGGGGAAACCCUGAUGCAAGCAACGCCGCGUGAGUGAUGACGGCCUUCGGGUUGUAAAGCUCUGUCUUCAGGGACGAUAAUGACGGUACCUGAGGAGGAAGCCACGGCUAACUACGUGCCAGCAGCCGC
rnacentral:rRNA from 1 species